UGUUACCCUCUGAUACUCCACGUAUUCGUCGUUUUAACGCUGACAUUGAAAUCCAAAAUAUUUUGUUCGAAUACACCACGGUUAUCUUCAGUCAAGCAUAUUUGGUUCUUUACCUCAUCGCUAAUUUUAAUAUUGUUCAUCCAUGGGAAAUUAUCAAAGGUUCCUUGGUCAGAAUUUCCAUAAGUACAGUUAUAGAUUUCGUCUUCAACAUUAUUUCAGUGUUUAUUCAAGUUCAUUUCUAUGAUAUUCCCAUGCGUAGGGUGUGGUUAAAAUAUUGGCGACGUCACAUGAUUGCGAAUGCUCUCACCAUCAUUUGUACAGUAUCAUAUUUUGGUGCGUCGCUGGUCAGUGUGUUCGCGGCGCGCGAAGACAGGUUACUGGAAUACAAAUUAAGAAACUGUACAAUACCUAUUUGAAAAACAUGUGUGACUACAAAUGUAGGCAUGUUGCAUAGCUUCAAAAGCAUGUUGCAUAGCGUCCGAAGCCCAAACGUUUGGUGUUUCAUUCAACAAUUUGGCCGUUAUGAUUGGUCUGCCCUUGUAAAUGGAAAGCGCCAUUUGUGAUUUCACAUUUAGAAGAAUAUUUCUGUUAAAUGUUCAACCACAGACAGGGGCGGCGCUACAGGGGUGUGUGUGUGUGUGGAGGGGGGGACACCCCCCACUCGUCAGCUAAUCGGAAAAUUGUUAUCUCAGUCGGCAAAACUGGAUUGGCUAAAGAAAACCACUGAAGAAACCAAAAUUGACCUCCUGAAUAAUUGAAUUCAAACCGAAUAUCACGAAUAGCAUGCAUCAAAGAAACCACACAUGCAGCAAUGCAAUUUUUUUCGAAUACAGUAUCUUCACUUCUGGCAGCUAGU